AAUCCAUGGUGAGGGCAACUUCGGAGCUUGUCUUGAAGUCUUUCCCAUGCUUCAUGUAAUGAUUCUUCUUCAUAUUGAGAGAAGUUUGUGAUUUCAGCCCGAAUCUU